GGCCCCUUAGCUCAGGCGGUUAGAGCAGGCGACUCAUAAUCGCUUGGUCACUGGUUCAAGUCCAGUAGGGGCCACCA
rnacentral:tRNA from 1 species